rnacentral:lncRNA from 1 species
ACAGUGGCCUUUCCUUUUCACCAAGUUAUGGCUCUGCGACCACUUCAAUACUUGUGAUUGACAGUCACCUGACUCAAGCUCUCCUGAACAAGGGAAAUAUUCUAUUGGGUUCCUCAAAAUGGAUGGUGUCGAUCGAGAGGAGAGUGGUCUGUGUUUUGGACAGUAAGUCCAACUUUGCUGCUGCCCUCUCUGUGCUCUUCAGCACUUUCUAUGUUUUUAACAUAGAAUAACAGGAGUUGGCCUCUGCAACCUUGGAGCUGAUAGAGGUUCCUGGUUUGAAUAAACCCUUAAGGAACCAAAUGCACAGCGAAAGCAGGAGUGAGCCGCAAGACCGGAAAGGUCGUUCAGAGGAAGUCAUUGCCAAUUGACCAAGAUGUUACACGCUUUCUCGCAGACCUGAAGGAGUUUGAUAGGAAAAACUCCAACAUGUAGAAAUCCUGCCAUGUGGGUUGGGUCAGCAAAUGAUCUGUUUGCUCCAUCCCGGAGCCUGUGUUGUCUUGAGGUAGCAUGCUUCUCUGGCUCCAGUCUAGCCCUGCUCUCUCCUCUCUAUCCACUUUUCUCUCAGCCCCUUUCUCUCUCGAUCUCUCUCUCUCUCUCGUUUCUCUCUCAACGACAGCCAGGCAAGCAGUUCUUGUUAUUGUUUUUUGUAAAAAUGUCUCCCUGUUCAACUGUUGUUUCCCUAUUUUUCAUUGAUCUGUUUAGAGAUUUUUUAAAUCUUACAUAAUCCUGUAUUUUUAAGAAUGACCUAUUCUGAUGUUUUGGUUUGUGUAUGGUGAAGUACAUUACUGACCAUUAUUUGUCAAUGUUCUUAUCAUUGUAUCUCUUUCUCUCUCUCUCCCCUACUAUCUGGAGUUGUAAUGUUGCUCUUUUCAAAUGUUGUUCUUUGUGGUUAAAGUGCAUUUCAAGUGAAAUUCUUGUUAUGAAUUUGAAUAAAUAUAUAUAUUUG